rnacentral:rRNA from 1 species
AUUGAACGCUGGCGGCAGGCUUAACACAUGCAAGUCGAGCGGGGGAAGGUAGCUUGCUACUGGACCUAGCGGCGGACGGGUGAGUAAUGCUUAGGAAUCUGCCUAUUAGUGGGGGACAACAUCUCGAAAGGGAUGCUAAUACCGCAUACGUCCUACGGGAGAAAGCAGGGGAUCUUCGGACCUUGCGCUAAUAGAUGAGCCUAAGUCGGAUUAGCUAGUUGGUGGGGUAAAGGCCUACCAAGGCGACGAUCUGUAGCGGGUCUGAGAGGAUGAUCCGCCACACUGGGACUGAGACACGGCCCAGACUCCUACGGGAGGCAGCAGUGGGGAAUAUUGGACAAUGGGCGCAAGCCUGAUCCAGCCAUGCCGCGUGUGUGAAGAAGGCCUUAUGGUUGUAAAGCACUUUAAGCGAGGAGGAGGCUACUUUAGAUAAUACCUAGAGAUAGUGGACUU